rnacentral:rRNA from 1 species
UACAGAGGGGGCAAGCGUUGUUCGGAAUUACUGGGCGUAAAGGGCGCGUAGGCGGCCUGUUAAGUCGAACGUGAAAUCCCCGGGCUCAACCCGGGAACUGCGUCCGAUACUGGCAGGCUCGAAUCCGGGAGAGGGAUGUGGAAUUCCAGGUGUAGCGGUGAAAUGCGUAGAUAUCAGGAGGAACACCGGUGGCGAAGGCGGCUUUCUGGACAGAUACCGACGCUGAGGCACGAAAGCUAGGGGAGCAAACAGG